rnacentral:rRNA from 1 species
GACAGAGGUCCCGAGCGUUAGGCGGAAUCACUGGGCUUAAAGCGUGUGUAGGCGGAUUUGUAAGUACCUUGUGAAAUCCCACGGGCUCAACCCGUGGAACUGCUUGGUAGUACUGCUUAUCUUGGGCCAUCUAGGGGCUAGCCGGAACAAGUGGUGGAGCGGUGAAAUGCGUAGAUAUCACUUGGAACGCCAAUGGUGAAAACAGGUAGCUGGGGAUGUGCCGACGCUGGAGAACACGAAAGCCAGGGGAGCAAACGGG